GGGUCAGUAGGUUGGUCGUGCCACCGGUACGUACUGGUCUCACUGAUUCCUCCUUCCUGAAGAACCGUAAUGCCACUAAUUUGGUGUUGCGGGGAAACAGGACUGUUACUUUGAAAAAUUAGAGUGUUUAAAGCAAGCUAACGCUUGAAUACAUUAGCAUGGAAUAAUGAAAUAGGACGAUCGAUCCUAUUUUGUUGGUUUCUAGGAUUGACGUA
rnacentral:rRNA from 1 species